GGGGCGUGAGCCAUCCGGUGGAGAGAUCACUAGUGAGAAUGAUGACAUGAGUAGCGACAAAGAGUGUGAGAGACACUCUCGCCGAAAGUCCAAGGGUUCCUGCUUAAAGCUAAUCUGAGCAGGGUAAGCCGGCCCCUAAGCCGAGGGCGAAAGCCGUAGGCGAUGGGAACUAGGUUAAUAUUCCUAGGCCAGGAGGAUGUGACGGAUCUCGAAGGUAGUUCAUCCUUAUCGGAUUGAAUGGGCUGCUUAGAGGUUCCUGGAAAUAGCCCUCCAUGAGACCGUACCCUAAACCAACACAGGUGGACUGGUAGAGAAUACCAAGGCGCUUGAGAGAACGAUCUUGAAGGAACUCGGCAAAAUACCUCCGUAAGUUCGCGAGAAGGAGGCCCAGUUUCUACGCAAGUAUUGGCUGGGGGCACAAACCAGGGG
rnacentral:rRNA from 1 species